AGUCGCGUGGUCUAAUGGUUAUGAUUUCUCGUUCACACCGAGAAGGUUCCCGGUUCGAUCCCGGGCGCGACUA
rnacentral:tRNA from 11 species